AUGAGGGCGCAGCCGCGGGCGCCGCCGGGCCGGAGCGCGGCGCCGCAGCAGAAGCAGCGGCUGGCGACGGCGGCCACGGCCUGGCCGACGAGCAGCAGGGCGAGCGCGGCGCCGGCCAUCCCGGUGGCCGCGUCCGGGCGGUACACGCAGUAG
rnacentral:rRNA from 1 species